rnacentral:lncRNA from 1 species
UAGUAUGAAACAUCUCGAAAGGAAAACACAAGCACACCUCAACACAUCUUCCUAAAGCUCUCUUCCAUAUAUGCAAGAAGGGAGCUGGUGUACAGGCCAAGAUGUAAAUUGACAUAAGGAAGCAUGCCUCUCCCAUGGCAUGGAUAUGUUGCCUAAAUCCAAUUUGUGCAACGACGCCAAUAGGACCCAGACCCAGACCCAG